GGGGUGUGCAUGGCUGCGGCGCGGUGGCGGGCAGGGGUGAGCCCGGCCACUCACCUUCCAGGAAGCGCGGAUUCCUGGAAGUGAGGGGCACCGCCGGCAUCUCGCAGGCGGCGGCGCAGGCACGGAGGGAAGCCUCUGCACCCGUGGAAAAGAUGGGUUUUCUGAACUGGGCUCUGUAAGGUGGGAAAACCUCGCUGAAGAACAGGAGAGACGCACCCAUCAUCAAUGGCCAGGUGAGGAAAGGCCACCUGGUGUGGAGGCAGAGGAGCUGGGGUGACCUUGAAGGAGCCAUGGGGUGCUCUGGGAGGGUGCACCCUGCAUCUGCCUUCCCCACUGCUCCCGGUCACUCCCGCAGAGACGGUCAGAGGCCCCUCCGGUGGACUGUCUCGGCCAUGCUCAGUUCUGCAGGGGCUACUGCCUUCCAAGGCCAAUGUUGGCCCUAUCUGGAUUUUCCCUGUUCCCUCUCUCAGGUAGCUGCUGACAUCUAGAAUUCUCAAAACACCGCUCUGAGAGGACCCGGAGUACUUUCAGAUCUCUGAAAGCCAGGCAUACCAUGAGCAGUGAUCUCUUCUGCCUCAGUGAGAGUGUUUGGCAGGCAUGAAAAGGUGUAUGUUCUAAUCGUUGACAAGGAUUGGGGGGAAAGAGUAUUGAACUCUGUAUCUCACUUCAAAGGCUGUCAGCUGUUGGUCCACCGGCCAAAUCCAGUCCAUAGAUAAGGGUGGCUUGCCCCAGGGAGCACUUUUUAAAAAAUGGAGUCAUGUUUAUAUAAAAUCGGGAUUUCUGACUUCUGUGAAACAGUUGGGGGUUUUGGCCACACUGGACCACACGCACUCCCGCACGGACACUGAAGAGCAGCUGCUCCUUGAGGAAGGACAUGUGUUUUCCCCG